rnacentral:tRNA from 1 species
UGCCGGAUGAGUAUUCAUGUACAUCGAUUUUUCGCGUCGAAAGCCUCCCUUAAUGGAAGAUUCGGUAA